UAUUUUCUGCACCGUUCAGUUUACCUAAUAUUCAUAAAAUAAAUCAAAUUCUGAAAUAAAUAUAGUGAGACAUUCUUAUUCAGCCAAGAUGUGCAACACCCUUCCUCCCCAUGUUAUCACAUAUCUGUGGUAUGCAUGAUGGAACAAUAAAGGGGAGAAAAAAAAAUCACUAACAGAAAAAAAUAAUUACAAGCACAUUUUGUACUUUUAUCUAAUAAAGAAAAAUCAGACACAUGUAGCACGCCAAGCUUGAAUCCAUCCGCUGCUCGGCAGCUGCCUCUCUCUGUCUGAAAAAAAAAAAAGCGCUGAUGAAAAAGGCUUUGAACGCCAUCUUGUUCAUUGCAGCUGCCUGGGCCCUGAAUACAGGAACCCAUUCAUUCGAGGAGGCGGAGGGAGGGAGGGGGCACGCUGGCAAAAUGAAUUCAUCUUUGUGAACCAGUAAAUGCGACCAGCUCUUUUUGGGGAACUAACCAUUUCCUAAACAGCUAGUAAUCCAAUGAAGGCGGUGGUGGGGGGGGAUUUGUUUGGAUGGAUCCGGUCACCGGUAAAUAACUUGGCAAAAGCGUCAAAAGCUCGGUGCAUUUUUUUCCCCCUCGGCGCUCAGCGUGGCUUCCUGUGACAACUCGAUGCUAAGCCCGCUUUCGGCACACCUUAACUCCGAACCUAAACCCUUCGGUACCGUGUGUUCGUCCCGAAUCCCCGGACACGUCCAUGCCUCCACGCUACACCGUGGCGCCCAUUCUCGGGGUUAGGUCUUAAAAAAAAAAGGCUACGGAGCUGCUGCGCGGCCCACCGGGGCAUGAUCGCCGGAGCCGCUAACAACCUGGCCCCGCAACAGACCCGUGAUCGAGAUAAACAGAUUGUCCAAAAUCCAAUUAGACAAUCUUGUUUUCGCGUCAUUAAAAGAAGAAGUUCAGAUUACGGUCGAAUCGCGCCGCGGACGGAACUUAAAGCUGCACCCGAACAGGCAAAAAGUAAAAUGGCUAUCGUCUCCCACAGGUAUCACCGGGGGAUUCAUGUCCUGUGGGUGGACCACCUCUGAAAUACAGAGAGGACUUAAUCAUCAUCGCCGGUCCUCCAGGCAGCGUGCUCAGAGGAGGAGUUAAUGCUCAGUGGGUUAAGGCGUUACUUGGAGACGUGGAACACUUUGUGGUCCUCCGAGGCAACGGAGUGUGCUUUGGGUUCGGUCCGAUGGGGGACGAAUGCUGCAGCAGCAGCAGCAGCAGCAGCAGCAGCAGCCUUGGUUCAUAAGAAGAAUGUUGCAGUAUGUUACUGCUAACUCUGACUUCAUCCACUCAUGCCUUUAACAUUACUAUGGUGAUGACAGUAAAUCAAAUAAUGAAAAAGGCAAAAAUGAUAUGCCAUAUAAUAAAAUAAUAUGUUGCGUAUUUGGCACGCUCCUAUUUUUGGCGGAAACGUGGGCUUUCCUCAUAUAUAAACCAUCAAAACCUUCUCAAGCCACAUCUAAGCACACCUCCAAGAAGAAUAAGUGAGCACUAGAGAGAUUAGCAGAUGCAAAGGAAAUAAAACCCUCAACCGAAAAGGUACUUCUUGCGGGUGAUGCUGUUUCUAAUUAUAGACGUGGUGCAACAUAGCCAGAUUUGAAGAUCACAAAAUACUAAAACCAACAGUUAAAGAAAUGUCGAAGAGAGACAGGGCGAUGUUUUGAGCGUGGCUUUCUGCUGGGACUCGCCCGCCCAGGUUAAUGCUGCUAAGGUUUAGUUGUCCCUGGAUACACCCCCCCUUGCCUGUUUGCAUACAUGUGUUGUGAAGGUUCCUUAGCAGUGCUUUAAAAACCCCCAGGAGGGACACCCAUUUCUUCUGGAUCCAGACCGAUGACGUGGGAGCAAAAACUCCUUCCACAUCUUCAUAAAAGGUGUGACGACACAACCGUGGUAGAACCACUAAAGCAGGGCAGAGGAUGAGCAACUCCAGGAGUCACAGCGUUCAGGAGCAUCAGCUCUCCUGAAUCGAACAGGUUCGAAAAAGGAUG